UACAGAGGUGGCAAGCGUUGUUCGGAAUUACUGGGCGUAAAGGGCGCGUAGGCGGCCUUCUAAGUCAGACGUGAAAUCCCCCGGCUUAACCUGGGAACUGCGUCUGAUACUGGAGGGCUUGAGUGCGGGAGAGGGAUGUGGAAUUCCAGGUGUAGCGGUGAAAUGCGUAGAUAUCGGGAGGAACACCAGUGGCGAAGGCGGCUCUCUGGACCGGUUCUGACGCUCAGGCGCGAAAGCGUGGGGAGCGAUCCGG
rnacentral:rRNA from 1 species